rnacentral:rRNA from 1 species
CACGUAGGGCGCAAGCGUUGUCCGGAAUUAUUGGGCGUAAAGAGCUCGUAGGCGGUCUGUUACGUCUGCUGUGAAAACCCUGGGCUUAACCCUGGGCUUGCAGUGGAUACGGGCAGACUAGAGGCAGGUAGGGGAGAAUGGAAUUCCCGGUGUAGCGGUGAAAUGCGCAGAUAUCGGGAGGAACACCCGUGGCUAAGGCGGCUCUCUAGUACGGUACUGACGCUGAGACGCGAAAGCGUGGGGAGCGAACAGG